rnacentral:misc_RNA from 1 species
UCUGUCGUAACAAGUAUCCCUACCGGAAGGUGGGGAUGGAUCACCUCCUUUCUAAGGAUAAUAAAAAUCAUCAUCUUCAGUUUUGAAAGACUUAGAUUGAAAAAGUAAGUUUUUCUUUUUUUAAGCGCCAAAGGGCCUAUAGCUCAGUUGGUAGAGCACACGCGUGACAAGGCGACGC